rnacentral:rRNA from 1 species
ACGCUGGCGGCGUGCCUAAUACAUGCAAGUCGAACGCACGAAGUUGAAGAGCUUGCUCUUUAACCAAGUGAGUGGCGGACGGGUGAGUAACACGUGGGUAACCUGCCCAUUAGAGGGGGAUAACAUUCGGAAACGGAUGCUAAUACCGCAUAGUUUCAGGAAUCGCAUGAUUCUUGAAGGAAAGGUGGCUUCGGCUACCACUAAUGGAUGGACCCGCGGCGUAUUAGCUAGUUGGUGAGGUAAUGGCUCACCAAGGCAAUGAUACGUAGCCGACCUGAGAGGGUGAUCGGCCACACUGGGACUGAGACACGGCCCAGACUCCUACGGGAGGCAGCAGUAGGGAAUCUUCCGCAAUGGACGAAAGUCUGACGGAGCAACGCCGCGUGAGUGAAGAAGGUUUUCGGAUCGUAAAACUCUGUUGUUAAAGAAGAACAAGGAUGAGAGUAACUGCUCAUCCCCUGACGGUAUUUAACCAGAAAGCCACGGCUAACUACGUGCCAGCAGCCGCGGUAAUACGUAGGUGGCAAGCGUUGUCCGGAUUUAUUGGGCGUAAAGCGAGCGCAGGCGGUUCUUUAAGUCUGAUGUGAAAGCCCCCGGCUCAACCGGGGAGGGUCAUUGGAAACUGGAGAACUUGAGUGCAGAAGAGGAGAGUGGAAUUCCACGUGUAGCGGUGAAAUGCGUAGAUAUGUGGAGGAACGCCAGUGGCGAAGGCGACUCUCUGGUCUGUAACUGACGCUGAGGCUCGAAAGCGUGGGGAGCAAAC